UACGUAGGGGGCUAGCGUUGUCCGGAUUUAUUGGGCGUAAAGAGCGUGUAGGCGGCUUGGUAGGUCUCGCGUCAAAACCUGAGGCUCAACCUCAGUUCGCGUGGGAAACCACCUAGCUAGAGUCCGGAAGAGGAGAACGGAAUUCCCAGUGUAGCGGUGAAAUGCGCAGAUAUUGGGAAGAACACCAGUGGCGAAGGCGGUUCUCUGGGACGGUACUGGACGCUGAGACGCGAAAGCGUGGGGAGCGAACAGG
rnacentral:rRNA from 1 species